rnacentral:rRNA from 1 species
UACGUAGGGGUCGAGCGUUGUCCGGAGUUACUGGGCGUAAAGCGCAUGCAGGCGGCUCAUUACGCAUGGCGUGAAAAGCCCCCGGCUCAACCGGGGAGGGUCGUCGUGAACGGGUGAGCUUGAGGGUAUCAGGGGCUGGUGGAAUUCCCGGUGUAGUGGUGAAAUGCGUAGAGAUCGGGAGGAACACCUGUGGCGAAGUCGGCCAGCUGGGAUACACCUGACGCUGAGAUGCGAAGGCGUGGGGAGCGAACGGGAUUAGAUACCCCCGUAGUCCCU